rnacentral:lncRNA from 1 species
GUAGGUGUCCAUGUGUGAGUCGUCGGGGAGCACGUGGGGAGAAGCACUCAUCCCUCCGGUCUUCAAUUCUAUCUGCUGAGCCUGCUCCCGGUAGUCAAGAAGGCCGCAGCCCAGCCUGACACAGCAGAGAAGCAUCGCCCCGAUUACAAGUCAGUCUUUACUGAAUCAUUUUUAAAAUCGUGCAUCUUGAGUUACAAGUUGCUUCCAUUAAUUCAAUAACUGCGGCUUUGCCAACCUCUCUACACUUCGAAGGUCAUAAGCAGGUGCACUCUGGCCUUCGCCCUCGAGAGUUCAUGUGCCCCCUUCCCCAGGGAGACCCCAGUUUCUCCCGCCUAGGAAGUUAGCGUCCAGAGGCACAAGACACUUGGGCAGCCAGUGUCUGCACUUAAAACACCAUUCUAAAAUAGGCAUUUCCAGUUGUAAGCUCUUCAAUAAAUGUUUUAUGACUACUCCCUACUCUCUUCACCCAGAUCACCGUGAUACAUACUUCCUUUGUUUUGCUCGAAUGUCUGGUAGCCUGGGCGGGGGAGUCCGAAGACUAAAGGUUUUUUAAGUUUUUAAGAAAAGCAGUUUCCUCUCAGCACUCAUGCUUUUGAAAGAAACAUUCACAGUGACACUGCUAAUGCCAGCAAUAAUUGAGUCAAGGGAAUGACCAUGAGGUGUUUUCUAAACCGCUACAAAAGGAUGAACAGUGGCAGCUAUAUUUAAAAAGAAAGGCAGGGAACCUUCAAAACCCUGAAGACAUUUUUCCAUCUGAGCGGACCCUCAGCCAGGGUGCAGAAGGUGUCACAGCCACAUAGCUUUCUGCAGCAUGCAGACAACUUCAUCUCCACAAAGGGAAGACCCCAGCUGCAUGUCAGGUUGGGCAGUGGUCCCUGAAGCUGGCUGCAGGGUUCCCUGUCGCCCUAUUAUUCUGGAUGGGAACAGGAGCCCACAGCCCUGUCUACUGCUUGUCCUGCAACCUCGGCCACGGCAGAGCUGGGCAAAAAGUCAAGUGUUGAUGUGUGCACUCGUGUGUGUGUUUCCAGAUCUGUGCACACCCCACCUAGGGAGGACGACAGCAACUGCAGGGUCGGCUUGGAGGAGGAGCCACGCACGCAGCAGGCACACCUGUUCCUAAGGCAGCCCCAGGCCACACUGCACAUCCAAUUACUUACAUUUUCGGAUUAAACCAUCAAUCCUUUCCAAAGCUUCAUAGGCUGAGAUGGAGAUCUAUAAGUAUCUCCUUAUAUUAUACCGUAGAUUCAUAACUAUUUCAAUGUAAUAUAGUAAGAAAAUGUUACUUUCAUAAAAAAUUCUAAACCAAUAUAUUGUACACCAUACUUACACACUAACAUUGUAAGUUGUGAUUCACUGAAGGUAAUUCCUACUGAUGCAUUAGAAUACAGAUAUGCACACAAAGCAGACAUUAAUAAGACACACAAGGGUAUGUUGCGACUCGUACUUGGUGAGGACGCUGCAGAAGAGGGGCACAUAGGGCCUCAGCUCCUCGGGGAGUGUGUUCAGGCUGGAGAAGGCCCGGAAAUACACCAUGCCAUUGGUGGGCUGGGCGCAGUACUGAACAGGGAUAUCUCCAGCUAGAAAAACAAAAGGGAUUUAAUUUUUAUUGCUGCCAGUAA